rnacentral:lncRNA from 10 species
GUCCUCCAGUGCCCGCAGCGGGUCCGGCAGCCCUGGCCUUAUCCGGGCGUCGGGGCUUCGGCGGGCAUUAGCAGCAGCUGAGAGGCCUGUGAGAGGUUCUGGGGCGCCACCGCAGUCAUUCUGUUCAGCGGGUAUAGGGACUGAAUCCGCUAGUCUGGCCAAAAAAAAAGCACUCAGCCACAUCCUACUCCCCAAUAAAUGUCUCUGGGGUCUUCAUUUUCUCUUCCGGCUGAUCCUCAGUUCAUCCAGUUCCUUCUCCAUUAAGUGGGAUUCAGCAGUGGACUCUGAAAGCUGAAAGUGAAGCAGCGGCUGUUAGCAAGCAGCACAUUUCUAGGAAAUGUUUCGGGUUAGCAAGGCCGGCCCUACACACGGAGGAAAGGCCCCCUGCCACUUCUCUGAUGCUGCUGGCUUCCUCGAUGGGAAACCCUCUGUAACUGGGUAGAAUGCAACCCCUGAUGACCCAGGACCACAAGUACUUGAAGAAUAUUCACAGUCCACUCUGUCAGCACGCUGUCACCCACGAGGGCAUGGCACUCCCUGCACGAAGGAGAGCAGGUCUCAGAGGACGUCAAAGGCAGAUACUGGUGAUUGUAAGGCUAAGGGAUUAGAGCUGAAAUUGAUUCUAAGCUGUAGCUCCCAUAAUGGGGAUGAGGGGAAAAAAUGCUAGAAAUAGAAUGCCACUUUCCUCCUUAGGGUUUUUUUGUUUUUGUUUUUUGGUUUGUUUGUUUUCUGAGACACGGUCUCGCUCUGUCGGCCAGGCUGGGUGCUUUUCUUGUACUAACUCACUAUGAGGUAGAUACUACGAUUAUGCUCAUUUUUAAAAAAAAACAUCCAGGCCGGGCGUGGUGGCUCAUGCCUGUAAUCUCAGCACUUUGGGAGGCCAAGACAGGGAGAUCACUUGAGGUCAGGCGUUGGAGACCAGCCUGGCCAACAUGGUGAAACCCCAUCUCUACUAAAAAUGCAAAAAUUAGCCAAGCGUGGUGGCGGGUGCUAAUCAGGAGGCUGAUGCAGGAGAAUCACUUGAACCCGGGAGGCAGAGGUUGCAGUGGGGCAGUGGGUGGAGAUCAUGCCACUGUACUCCAGCCCAGGCUACAGAGCGAGACUCUGUCUAAAAUAAAUAAAUAAAUAAAAAUAAAAAUAAAAAAACAUCCAGCCUAAAAUGUCAGUCUUUUUCUUUUUUUUUUUUCCAAGAUGGGGUCUCACUCUGUUGCCCAGGCUAGAGUACAGUGGCGCGAUCUCAGCCCACUGCAACCUCCACCUCCCGGGUUCAAGCAAUUCUCCUGCCUCAGCCUCCUGAGUAGCUGGGAUUAUAGGCGCAUGCCAUCACACCCAGCUAAUUUUUGUAUUUUUAGUAGAGACAAGGUUUCACCAUGUUGGUCAGGCUGGUCUCGAACUCCUGACCUUGUGACCCGUCCACCUUGGCCUCCCAAAAUGCUAAGAUUACAGGCAUGAGCCAUCAUGCCCAGCCUAGUCCUUUUUUAAAAAAAAAAAAAAGAUGGCAUCUUACUUUGCAGCCAAGGCUGCUCUCAAACUCCUGAGGUUAAGCCAUCCUCCUGUCUUAGCCUCCCAAGUAGCUGGGACUACAGGGGUGCACCACCACAAUUAGCUAUUAUGCCAUUUAUUGCUGAAGAAAUUAAGUUACAGAGCAGUUAGUCAGUAGCAGAGCUGGGUGAGGAACCCAGGCCAUUUUGCUCUGGAGUGUGUGCUCUUAACCACUACAGUGUAUGCUCUCCUGCCUCUGAACCUUCACAGGCUCCUCUAGGCCCAGUGGGUUGCUGGAUUUUUAACAGCCACAAGAAACCAACACUAAUGCAGUGUGAGCCCCUCAGCUGGUCUGUACUGGGCACUGAUUAAUGCCUACUUGGUAUGAGACACUUCCAAGCCAUGAGCCGGCUCUACCCCUCUUCCUGGAAUGCCUUCAUCUAACCUCUAUUCCUGCCAUUAUCCUUCCACAUUCAGCUCAGAUAUCCCUUCCUCUGGGAAGCUCUCCCGACUUGACAGAAAUAACUUCUCCCUCGUGUGCUGUGCAGAUCCUGUGCAGACUCCAACUGGGUCCUUAUGUAAUUAUGCUUACGGUCGGUCCACCUGCCUCUACACUGUGAGGGCAGGAACUGUGUCUUGUUCCUUGCGUGUGGCUUUGGAUGCAAAGCAACGUACCUGGCCAAACUGGCAUUGAGGAGAUAUCUGUUGGAUUAAGUGACUCGAGGUGGAGCCUCCCCAAAAGGAGAAGCUAGGCCUCUCUUCCCCAUCACCUGCCUCACCAUGUCUAAUAAGAUGUCCACUUUCAGCCGCAAGAGAUUGUUCUCUUCCUCCAACUGCUGGUUCCGCCUGCGAAGGCGCUGAACCUCCCUCCGGUCCACACCGCCACUAACCCCUGUCUCUGGAGGAAGGACAGAACCAGUUAAAGGGGGAUUUCCUCCUACAAUCUUGUUUGACAAAAUGGCAGGAAGUGCAGCUCACCUGCUAUCCACUGGCCAUUUUCAAACUUCAGGCUUUGCCCUGCCAGGUUCAUAGUCGGGGAUCCGUAUUCCAAGCCCAGCUCCACCUCCCGGGUUGAUCGAUCCAACUGUGGGCGAGAUGCUAUGUGACAACUUCAGCAGGCCCGGAACACGCCUUCAUCCCAGCUCCUCUUCCGCCAACAAUAUGACCCCAACAACUCAUUUCUCUAAUCAUUACUUGGCACCUUUAAUGAUUUUUUUAAAGCCAUAAAAUCAAAUGAUGUACAGGAAAAGUUUAAUUGUGAGAUAAAAAAUAUACUGUUUUAUACAUUAGAUGUUUUCCAGAAAAGCUAUAUAUACUGAAAUUUAUAAAUUGAAUUAUUUUAUACCUACUUGACACUUAAUAGUUUAAGCAAUCCUACUAUAAACUGUUAAUCAAGUGAAAAAUUCUUUUUAAAUGUAAUAGUCCCCCAAGUUAUCAUUUGCUUAAUAUGGAGCUACAUAUGUUGUGGAAAAGACAUAAAAUUCUAACAAUUAGGAGGAAGAGGAGUUGCUUCUUAACGUGCGACAGUACAAUUUACAUAUUCUAUUCUUUUCUUUUCUUUUUUUUUUUUUUUGAGACGGAGUUUCGCUCUUUCACCAAGGCUGGAGUACAGUGGUGCGAUCUCAGUUCACUGCAGCCUCCGCCUCCCGGGUUCAAGUGAUCCUCCCAUCUCGGCCUCUGAAUAGCUGGGACUACAGGCAUGCACCACCAUACCCGGCUAAUUUUUGGGGUUUUUUUUGAGACGGAGUCUCACUCUUUCGCCUAGGCUGGAGUGCAGUGGCACAAUCUUGGCUCACUGCAACCUCUGCCUCCCAGGUUCAAGCAACUCUUCUGCCUCAGCUUCCCGAGUAGCUGGGACUACAGGCGCACGCCACCACACCUGGCUAAUUUUUGUAUUUUUUAGUAGAGACAGGGUUUCACCAUAUUGGCCAGGCUGGUCUCGAACUCCUGACCUUGUGAUCCGCCCACCUCAGCCUCCCAAAGUGCUGGGAUUAUAGACGUGAGCCACCGUGCCCGGCCUAAUUUUUGUAUUUUUUAAAGUAGAGUCAGAGUUUCGCCACAUUGGCCAGGCUGGUCUCAAACUCCUGACCUCAAGUGAUGCGCCCACCUCAGCCUCCUAAAGUGCUGGGAUUACAGGCAUGAGCCACUGCGCCUGGCCUAGAUAUUCAUUUCUACAACUCACUGAGCACCCACCCCGAUUCGGGACUCGGUACUGGGUAUCCAGGGAUGCGUAUGACCAGCUCUGCCCUCAAUAGCGGCUCAACACAGGGAGACCUUCAGGUAAGUGCUCAAAUGUCCCUUUCUCAGUUAGGCCUUCCUGACCACCCUGUUGAAAAUGAAAGCUCAGUCCCCAGUGCUCAGCCACACCCCAUCCCAGGCCUAUGCUUUGUUUUGCUGUCUGGCACAUAUCACCAUCUGAUAUAAAUUUGCUUAUUUUCUGUAGCCUUCCGUUAAAGUAUCUGCCCCAUGAAAGCAGGGAUUUGAUGUUUUUCUCUCCCCUCCUUCAUCCACUUCUGCAUGCCCAGUGCUUAGGAGAGUGCCUGGCACAUAGAAAGGUAUCAAUCAAUAGCUCUUUAAUUAAUCUAUUCUAGAUUCUAGAAUUAAACAUUCUAGGCAGAAGGAGUAGCGUGCGCAGAGGAGGUUCACACGGGGCUUGGGCGGCUGCAGCACAGGGUGUGCAGAGGGCAAGGGCAGGAAGGAGAGCUGGAGUGAGGCCACCAAGGGUCAUUUGUGCUGCUCCCAAGAUCUGGGUGGUUAUCCUGUAAUAACGGGGAACUAAUAAAAUCCACCAGUGACCAUAUGGAGCGCUGUGGAGGCCUUACAAGUACCAAGGCUUACAAGUACCUGUCAGCAUGUGGAAAACAAUGUAGGGGAGGACCGACUUCAAGUCACGGUCAGAGACAGACGUCAUGUAAGCACACUGCUGCUCUUACGCUGUGUGGGAUUAGGACAGAGGAUGUCCUAGAGGGACCGCCAGGUGUAUCUGCAUCUCUCACACAUGGCAGAGAGGAAAGGGAGCCUCAGGCCUAGGGGCACCAGAAACUGAGAUCCUAAGCCUCUGCCUGGCCUGCUCCACAGAAUGCCCAGCUCUGGCCACAGUGGGGCUGCCCCCACCAUGAUUUUCACUGGGAACAGGAGACAACAGACUCUUAAGACCUGAAACCUGUAGUGAAUGCUCAGCCCCCACAGCCUUGUUGUUCAACCCCACUCGCCUUCUGUGAAGACAUGGCCAGUCUGCAUAGCUAGCUCUGUAGGAAAAGGUCACAGAAUAAAGUAGAAGUCAAAUUGGAUGAUACUGGCUGGGCACAGUGGCUCACACCUGUAAUCCUAGCACUUGGGGAGGCCAAGGCGGGUGGAUCACCUGAGAUCAGCAGUUCGAGACCAGCCUGGCCAACAUGGUGAAACCCUGUCUCUACUAAAAGUACAAAAAUUAGCCGGGCAUGGUGGCGGGCAGUUGUAAUCCCAGCUACUCAGGAGGCUGAGGAAGGAGAAUCGCU